rnacentral:rRNA from 1 species
CCUACGGGUGGCAGCAGUGAGGAAUAUUGGUCAAUGGACGAGAGUCUGAACCAGCCAAGUAGCGUGAAGGAUGACUGCCCUAUGGGUUGUAAACUUCUUUUAUAUGGGAAUAAAAUGUUCCACGUGUGGGUUUUUGUAUGUACCAUAUGAAUAAGGAUCGGCUAACUCCGUGCCAGCAGCCGCGGUAAUACGGAGGAUCCGAGCGUUAUCCGGAUUUAUUGGGUUUAAAGGGUGCGUAGGUGGAUUGUUAAGUCAGUUGUGAAAGUUUGCGGCUCAACCGUAAAAUUGCAGUUGAUACUGGCAGUCUUGAGUACAGUAGAGGUAGGCAGAAUUCGUGGUGUAGCGGUGAAAUGCUUAGAUAUCACGAAGAACUCCGAUUGCGAAGGCAGCUCACUAGACUGCAACUGACACUGAGGCUCGAAAGUGUGGGUAUCAAACAGGAUUAGAUACCCUUGUAGUC